AUUGAACGCUGGCGGCAGGCCUAACACAUGCAAGUCGAGCGGAUGAAGGGAGCUUGCUCCCGGAUUCAGCGGCGGACGGGUGAGUAAUGCCUAGGAAUCUGCCUGGUAGUGGGGGAUAACGUCCGGAAACGGGCGCUAAUACCGCAUACGUCCUGAGGGAGAAAGUGGGGGAUCUUCGGCCCUCACGCUAUCAGAUGAGCCUAGGUCGGAUUAGCUAGUUGGUGGGGUAAAGGCCUACCAAGGCGACGAUCCGUAACUGGUCUGAGAGGAUGAUCAGUCACACUGGAACUGAGACACGGUCCAGACUCCUACGGGAGGCAGCAGUGGGGAAUAUUGGACAAUGGGCGAAAGCCUGAUCCAGCCAUGCCGCGUGUGUGAAGAAGGUCUUCGGAUUGUAAAGCACUUUAAGUUGGGAGGAAGGGCAGUAAGUUAAUACCUUGCUGUUUUGACGUUACCAACAGAAUAAGCACCGGCUAACUUCGUG
rnacentral:rRNA from 1 species